GACGAACGCUGGCGGCGUGCCUAACACAUGCAAGUCAAAGGAAAGCAGCUUCGGCUGUGAGUACUUGGCGCAAGGGUGAGUAACGUAUAGGUAAUCUGCCCUUUGGACUGGGAUAACCCCGAGAAAUCGGGGACAAUACCAGAUGAAGCAGCGACAAUCGCAUGGUUGUUCUGCCAAAGAUUUAUCGCCAAAGGAUGAACCUAUAUCCCAUCAGGUAGUUGGUAAGGUAACGGCUUACCAAGCCUACGACGGGUAGCUGGUCUGAGAGGAUGAUCAGCCACAUUGGAACUGAGACACGGUCCAGACUCCUACGGGAGGCUG
rnacentral:rRNA from 1 species